GGGGUUGUAGCUCAGUGGUAAAGUGCUCACCUUGAAUGUGGGAGGCACUGGGUUGGAUCCUCAGCACCACA
rnacentral:tRNA from 1 species